rnacentral:tRNA from 2 species
UCUUCCUUAGCUCAGUUGGUUAGAGCACCUGACUGUUAAUCAGGGGGUCUCAGGUUCAAGUCCUGAAGGGAGAG